AACAACUGUGUGUUAUUAACAGAAAGUAAAAAAAGAAUUGCACCUUUGUAAAUUAAUUUAAACUGACUGAAACAGCUGAUAUAAAGCUACAAGUCCCUAUUACUUGGAAUAUGUUGACAGGCUGAGAGCACUAGGCUAAGCCACUCCAGCAACACAUCCAUCACGAUCAGUCACCACCUUCCAAGCUAGGCCCAAGUGUCCACUUUGACUUUUAACAGAUGAAGAGAGGGUGGUCCUUGGGUGUCACAGAAAACCAAAUGGCUUCUUAACAAUUUGAC